GAUGAACGCUGUCUACGUGCUUAACACAUGCAAGUCGAGGGGAACCGUGUUCUUAACUUGCUCAGGUCGAUGGCGACCGGCGCACGGGUGAGUAACACGAAUCCCACCUGCCUUCUACUCUUGGACAGCCUUCUGAAAGGAAGAUUAAGACAAGAUGGCCUCAUGAGUCCCCAUGUUCACAUGAUUAAAGGGAUUCCGGUUGACGAGGGGGAUGAUUUCCCUUAGAUAGAAUGCGGGGUAACGGCCCACCUAGUCUUCCAUGGAUACGGGUUCUGAGAGAAAGGACCCCCACAUUGGAACUGAUACACAGGCCACACUCCUACGGCACGCAGCAGAGGGGAAUAUUGGUCAAUGGGCGAGAGCCUGAACCACCCGAGGAACGUGAACGAUGACUGCCCUAUGGGUUGUCAACUUCUUUUAUAAAAGAAUAAAGUCAGAUAUGGAUACCCGUUUGCUUGUACUUUAUGAAUAACGAUCGGCUAACUCCCUGCCAGCUGCCGCGGUAAUACGGAUGAUCCGAGCGUUAUGCCGGAUUUAUUGGGUUUAAAGGGAGCGUAAGCCGACGCUUAAGUCACUUGUGAAAGUUUCGCGGCUCUACCGUAAAAUUGCACUUGAUACUGGGUGUCUAGAGUACAGUAAAGGCAAGCGGAAUUCGUGGAGUAGCGGAGAAAUGCAUAAAUAUCACGAAGAACUCCGAUUGCCAAGGCAGCCUGCUGGACUGAAACUGACGCUGAUGCUCGACAGAGUGGAUAUCAUACACGAUUAGAUACCCCUGGUAGUCCACACGGUAAACGAUGAAUACUAGCUGUCUUCGAUAUAGUGCAAGCGGCCAAGCGAAAUCGUUAAGUAUUGCACGUGGGCAGUACGCCGGCUACGGUGAAUCUCAAAGGAAUUGACGGGGGCGCGCACAAGGGGAGGAACAUGUGGUUUAAUUGGAUGAUACGCGAGGAUCCUUACCUGGGCUUAAAUUGCAGAUGAAUUGUGGUGAAAUCCGUAAGAGGCAAGACAUCUGUGAAGGUGUUGCAUGGUUGUCGUCAGCUCGGACCGUGAGGUGUCGGCUUAAGUGCCAUAACGAGCGCAACCCUGGUUGUCAGUUAUUAACAGGUUUUGUUGAGGACUCUGACAAGACUGCCAUGGUAAGAUGUGAGGAAGGUGGGGAUGACGUCAAAUCAGCACGGCCCUUACGUCCGGGGCUACACACGUGUUACAAUGGGGGGUACAGAGGGCCGCUAGCACGCGAGUGGAUGCCAAUCCCAAAACCCUUUGUCAGUUCGGAUUGGAGUCUGCAACCCGACUCCGGGAAGCUGGAUUCGCUAGUAAUCGAGCAUCAGCCACGGCGCGGUGAAUACGUUCCCGGGCCUUGUACACCCCGCCCGUCAAGCCAUGGGAGCCGGGGGUACCUGAAUUGCGUACCCGCGAGGAGCGCCCUAGGGUAAAACUGGUGACUGGGGCUAAGUC
rnacentral:rRNA from 1 species